GAUGAACGCUGGCGGCGUGCCUAAUACAUGCAAGUCGAACGCUGGAAAUCUAGCUUGCUAGAUUGAAGGAGUGGCGAACGGGUGAGUAAUACAUAAGCAACCUACCCACGAAGACUGGGAUAAUCUCUGGAAACGGGGACUAAUACCGGAUAGGUAAUCGGAAGGCAUCUUCUGAUUAUUAAAGGUUAAAAACACUGGUGGAUGGGCUUAUGGCGCAUUAGUUAGUUGGUGAGGUAACGGCCCACCAAGACGAUGAUGCGUAGCCGGCCUGGGAGGGUGAACGGCCACAUUGGGACUGAGACACGGCCCAGACUCCUACGGGAGGCAGCAGUAGGGAAUUUUCGGCAAUGGGGGAAACCCUGACCGAGCAACGCCGCGUGAGUGAUGACGGCCUUCGGGUUGUAAAGCUCUGUUGUAAGGGAAGAACGGUAGAUAGAGAAUAUCUAAAUGACGGUACCUUACCAGAAAGCCACGGCUAACUACGUG
rnacentral:rRNA from 1 species